GCGAACGGGUGAGUAACACGUGGGCAAUCUGCCCUUCACUCUGGGACAAGCCCUGGAAACGGGGUCUAAUACCGGAUACUGACCGGCCUGGGCAUCCAGGCGGGUCGAAAGCUCCGGCGGUGAAGGAUGAGCCCGCGGCCUAUCAGCUUGUUGGUGAGGUAAUGGCUCACCAAGGCGACGACGGGUAGCCGGCCUGAGAGGGCGACCGGCCACACUGGGACUGAGACACGGCCCAGACUCCUACGGGAGGCAGCAGUGGGGAAUAUUGCACAAUGGGCGAAAGCCUGAUGCAGCGACGCCGCGUGAGGGAUGACGGCCUUCGGGUUGUAAACCUCUUUCAGCAGGGAAGAAGCGAAAGUGACGGUACCUGCAGAAGAAGCGCCGGCUAACUACGUGCCAGCAGCCGCGGUAAUACGUAGGGCGCAAGCGUUGUCCGGAAUUAUUGGGCGUAAAGAGCUCGUAGGCGGCUUGUCACGUCGGUUGUGAAAGCCCGGGGCUUAACCCCGGGUCUGCAGUCGAUACGGGCAGGCUAGAGUUCGGUAGGGGAGAUCGGAAUUCCUGGUGUAGCGGUGAAAUGCGCAGAUAUCAGGAGGAACACCGGUGGCGAAGGCGGAUCUCUGGGCCGAUACUGACGCUGAGGAGCGAAAGCGUGGGGAGCGAACAGGAUUAGAUACCCUGGUAGUCCA
rnacentral:rRNA from 1 species